rnacentral:rRNA from 1 species
UACGGAGGGUGCAAACGUUGCUCGGAAUCAUUGGGCGUAAAGCGCACGUAGGCGGUCCGGUAAGUCGGAUGUGAAAUCCCUCGGCUCAACCGAGGAAGUGCAUUCGAAACUGCCAGACUUGAAUAUGGAAGAGGGUCGCGGAAUUCCCGGUGUAGAGGUGAAAUUCGUAGAUAUCGGGAGGAACACCAGUGGCGAAGGCGGCGACCUGGGCCAAUAUUGACGCUGAGGCGCGAAAGCUAGGGGAGCAAACGGG